UUAACCUAAGCUAACAAUGUUGGGCUUGGAAGAUUUAGCUCAAAGAAGAUUAGCAUGACCGCUGCGCAAAGAUGGCACGCACAAAUUGAGAAAUGGUCCAAACUUUU